GGGGAAUAUUGGACAAUGGGCGCAAGCCUGAUCCAGCCAUGCCGCGUGGGUGAAGAAGGCCUUCGGGUUGUAAAGCCCUUUUGUUGGGAAAGAAAAGCAGCCGGCCAAUACCCAGUUGUUCUGACGGUACCCAAAGAAUAAGCACCGGCUAACUUCGUGCCAGCAGCCGCGGUAAUACGAAGGGUGCAAGCGUUACUCGGAAUUACUGGGCGUAAAGCGUGCGUAGGUGGUGGUUUAAGUCCGUUGUGAAAGCCCUGGGCUCAACCUGGGAACUGCAGUGGAUACUGGAUCACUAGAGUGUGGCAGAGGGUAGUGGAAUUCCCGGUGUAGCAGUGAAAUGCGUAGAGAUCGGGAGGAACAUCAGUGGCGAAGGCGACUGCCUGGGCCAACACUGACACUGAGGCACGAAAGCGUGGGGAGCAAAC
rnacentral:rRNA from 1 species